rnacentral:tRNA from 1 species
GGGGUUGUGGCUCAGUGGUAGAGCUCUUGCCUAGCAUGUGUGAGACCCUGGGUUCUAUUCUCAGCACCA